rnacentral:rRNA from 1 species
UACAACUUUCAGCAACGGAUCUCUUGGCUCUCGCAUCGAUGAAGAACGCAGCGAAAUGCGAUAAGUAAUGUGAAUUGCAGAAUUCAGUGAAUCAUCGAAUCUUUGAACGCACCUUGCGCUUCUUGGUAUUCCGAGGAGCAUGCCUGUUUGAGUGUCAUUAAAUUCUCAAUCCCUUCCAGUUCUUUGUAAGCUGGUUGUGGCUUGGAUAUUGGGGGUUCUGCAGGCCUUGUUAUGUCGAGGUCAGCUCCC